rnacentral:ncRNA from 1 species
GGCUGAUGCCAAGCUGCCCGAUGCGCAGUCGGGUUACGAAAAAGCCUAUACCAACGUACUGGCCGGACACAGCGGCGCUAACUUGGUCUAUGAAUCU